GUCUAUGGCCAUGCCACUCUGAACGUGCCUGAUCUCGUCUGAUCUUGGAAGCUAAACAGGGUCAGGGCUGGUUAGUACUUGGAUGGGAAACCACCUAGGAACACCAGUUGCUGUACGUG
ensembl:rRNA 5S_rRNA 5S ribosomal RNA